GACGAACCGUGCGAACGUUGUUCGGAAUCACUGGGCUUAAAGGGCGCGUAGGCGGGUCACCAAGUCCGGGGUGAAAUCUUUCGGCUUAACCGGAAAACUGCCUUGGAUACUGGUGACCUCGAGGGAGGUAGGGGUCUGUGGAACUUUUGGUGGAGCGGUGAAAUGCGUUGAUAUCAGAAGGAACGCCGGUGGCGAAAGCGACGGACUGGACCUCCACUGACGCUGAGGCGCGAAAGCUAGGGGAGCAAACGGG
rnacentral:rRNA from 1 species